rnacentral:rRNA from 1 species
AUUGAACGCUGGCGGCAUGCCUUACACAUGCAAGUCGAACGGCAGCACGGGAGCAAUCCUGGUGGCGAGUGGCGAACGGGUGAGUAAUGUAUCGGAACGUGCCCAGUUGUGGGGGAUAACUGCUCGAAAGAGCAGCUAAUACCGCAUACGACCUGAGGGUGAAAGCGGGGGAUCGCAAGACCUCGCGCAAUUGGAGCGGCCGAUAUCAGAUUAGGUAGUUGCUGGGGUAAAGGCCCACCAAGCCAACGAUCUGUAGCUGGUCUGAGAGGACGACCAGCCACACUGGGACUGAGACACGGCCCAGACUCCUACGGGAGGCAGCAGUGGGGAAUUUUGGACAAUGGACGCAAGUCUGAUCCAGCCAUGCCGCGUGCGGGAAGAAGGCCUUCGGGUUGUAAACCGCUUUUGUCAGGGAAGAAACGGUCUGGGUUAAUACCUCGGGCUAAUGACGGUACCUGAAGAAUAAGCACCGGCUAACUACGUGCCAGCAGCCGCGGUAAGAC